rnacentral:rRNA from 1 species
UACAGAGGGUGCUAGCGUUAAUCGGAUUUACUGGGCGUAAAGCGUGUGUAGGCGGUUCGUUAAGUCGGAUGUGAAAGCCCUGGGCUCAACCUAGGAAUUGCAUUCGAUACUGGCGGGCUAGAGUACGGUAGAGGGCGGCGGAAUUCCGGGUGUAGCGGUGGAAUGCGUAGAGAUCCGGAAGAACACCGGUGGCGAAGGCGGCCUGCUGGGCAGUAGCUGACACUGAGGCGCGACAGCGUGGGGAGCAAACAGG